GACGAACGCUGGCGGCGUGCCUAAUACAUGCAAGUAGAACGCUGAAGGAGGAGCUUGCUUCUCUGGAUGAGUUGCGAACGGGUGAGUAACGCGUAGGUAACCUGCCUGGUAGCGGGGGAUAACUAUUGGAAACGAUAGCUAAUACCGCAUAAGAGUAGAUGUUGCAUGACAUUUGCUUAAAAGGUGCAAUUGCAUCACUACCAGAUGGACCUGCGUUGUAUUAGCUAGUUGGUGGGGUAACGGCUCACCAAGGCGACGAUACAUAGCCGACCUGAGAGGGUGAUCAGCCACACUGGGACUGAGACACGGCCCAGACUCCUACGGGAGGCAGCAGUAGGGAAUCUUCGGCAAUAGACGGAAGUCUGACCGAGCAACGCCGCGUGAGUGAAGAAGGUUUUCGGAUCGUAAAGCUCUGUUGUAAGAGAAGAACGAGUGUGAGAGUGGAAAGUUCACACUGUGACGGUAUCUUACCAGAAAGGGACGGCUAACUACGUG
rnacentral:rRNA from 1 species